GUGUGUAAAAGAGACGGGUGAGUCAUCGAAUCUUUGAACGCACAUUGCGCCCGCCAGUAUUCUGGCGGGCAUGCCUGUCCGAGCGUCAUUUCAACCAUCAAGCCCCGGGCUUGUGUUGGGGACCUGCGUCCGACGCAGGCCCCGAAAACCAGUGGCGGGCUCGCUGUCCACACCGAGCGUAGUAGCUAACCUCGCUCCGGAGUGGCGCGGGCGCCUGCCGUAAAACCCCCCAAUUUUACAAGGUUGACCUCGGAUCAGGUAGGAAUACCCGCUGAACUUAAGCAUAUCAAUAAGCGGAGG
rnacentral:misc_RNA from 1 species